UCCAUCCUGCCUCUCAAUGUCUUAAAAGUCCAAAGCGCCAGGCAUCAACAGAUCAACCCCGAAUUACACAGCAACAACUUCUCAUGUCACGAACACAAUGCUAAUGAAGAAUUUUAAUAAUUUGCUGAACAUGCAAUGAUUCCAAAAACAUUACAUCCACUGGUGUGCACCCAACAAGCAAAGGUUGGCAAGAUAGUAGCAAUAGAAAUAUUUCACCUCUCACCAAGCACCAAGGGUAUUUUUAUGCGAGUACUAUGAUAAAUUAUCUCAAGUUGCGCUUGCGCAAAGGAAGAACUGACAUCCUGUCUUGACUAAGCCCACCACUUAUAAGUGACACAUUUUGCCAUGUCCUUCUACCUUAUGGCAGUGACGCCCAGGCGUUUUGAACCAUUGACUUGUUGCAGAUUUGGUGUGUACACUCAGAUAAAGUUAGCACUGCUGUGUAAAAACAGACCUCUACCAAAGAUGGUCUCAAAAAGGAACUUUGGAACAUUAUUUUAGAUUAUACCAGGCUGUGUGAGAAAUAAGCUGUGACACAUGAACCACUGAACUGUUCCAAAAUGUCACAGAACCAGUUGAAAUUGCUUGUUUCCGUUAACAAGAAAAAAGCCACUGCAUUAUUAAAAGGCUAAAAAAAAAAGUUUAAAAAGUGACGGAAAUAUUAUUGGUGACCUAUAUGCACAGUUCUGCUCAUAUGUCUUCAUGUGGAUGCACCACCUGCUGCAAAAUCUCAAAAGGAAAAACGAUGAGGGCUUUGAUCCUGGAGCGCUCAAAGAGCUUGGAGGAGUUGUUGCCAGCAUCAAAGUCCUCAUCAACCUGACCCUCCCAGCGCACGGAGUUGGCGAGGGACUCUAUCUCAGUCAUGGUGAAGUCUUACUCAGACCCACACGACCCUGUUCCAGAGAGAACAAAAUAAGUUAAUUCCAAAGGUUUCACAACGUCUGAUGACUAGAGAAACAUUGUGCCAACGGACUAACAGCAAGACCUGAUACUGCCAAAUUUUAGUUGUUGAAGGGUUGUUUAUGCCUCUGCAUGAAGUAGCAAAAGUGUUUAUCUCUCUACCUGGGUAUUCAUAGCGGGUAGAUUAGGUGGCUGUCUUUUCAUGUUUUCGUCCGGCUCAACCGUGCUGCUCUCUCUCUCUCACUGACAAGCUAUAAACUGUUCUAAACCAAGAAGAAAAGAACUGUAAUAAUUGACGAGUUGACCAGUAUUUUCACUGAGAGUGGUAAUGCCAGUGUCCUAUACUUAUCCGCGCUUUAUUGUCAGUAGAACAACAUUGUGUAAAAUCUCAGCCAAAGAAGCUGAGGCCCAGCCUUUACGCUUGCUUCGAACGAUUGCAAACGGCAAUUAAUCGGUUGGAGGAGAAGAUGCUCGGGUCACUGAUGGUCGUGAUAUUGUAAGGAUCGUAGAUAACAGUCUCAAAAGCGUGUCUAAGUGAUGUGCAGGCUCCCCCCUGCUCACACAAAAAGAAGAUGCGCUUGAGAAAAGAGAAGAUAAAUGCUCGAUCACCUGACCAGGUAACGAUAACACCCCCUCGGCGAGUCAGUACAGAAGCCAUCGACCUCCCAGGAGUCAGUUUAUCAGAUGACAAACGAGACCUCAAGGUGUAUUCUGAUUUGGCUUCCAUGUCACAGAUGCAGGCAUUGAGACAGUCAUCUGCCUCUUUCUUGACCUUACAAGAGAACCCACAGUGGAAGGAAUGUUCCCCCGCAACAACCCCCUGACACCGACGAGGCCGUCUUCGCAAAACAAGCAGCUUUUGAAAAGAAACUUCUUACGAUGCUCGCCACGAACUUCGGAGUAAGGGCGCGCGCCAAGUGCACAUCGCAUCUGUGAGACUAGACCCUCGACUGUUCGCCACAUCUGUACCUAAGCCAUCCUCCACUCCCUCCAACAUCCCCCCAGGAUGGUCAGGAGGUGCACCGCUGAAUACCACACGUUCCGGACAGACACGGUGUUACCAUUCCGAGACCUCAAAGUACCGACACCGAGAGUCGGUGACACACAACUGCGCAGUCACCUUUCCCAUGGUCUGCUGGGUAAAUGUAUUGGAAUUUCUAGAAUAUUCGUUGUUGACAGUCACCAUUAUUGUCCUCGCCAAGUAGGGCACAAGCGUUUAUUCUAGAAUACUCGCGAUCAUUUUCAUCAACAACGAAAUAGAAAGCCGGUCUAUGGAGUCUCGUCUAACGGGUGGGCUGAUGAUGGAAAAUGUCCUGCAUUUCCCCUUUCUCCAUAAAAUAAUCCAUGGGAUUGAUCAGAUAAGCCUCAUGUAAGAAUAAUAAUAAAAAAAUGGUGGUCUUAUGAAAAGAACCGGCGGCUGAGUGAAUGAGAGAAGAGGGAUUCAGUGGAGUGGAAUGGCUUUGUAACUGAUUUUGUUGCCUCCGCCGCGCUGACCUUUAACCUUUUUUUGUUGAAGCAUCCUAGCACCCUGAUCUUAUUUUAUUGAGGGUAAAUUAGAGUUCAAAGUUAUUAUUGUUUAUUUUAUUGCCUUGCUGCAGUGUGGUGAGCUAUGAUCUUCCCUGUUUAGAACAUGACACUGCAUCGAGCUCUUGUUUGUUUAUUUAUACAUUUCAAUGUCGUGUAGUGUGACAUGUAGAGAUCACAACACAUCCAGAUUUUUGUGCUCUGUAACAUUUUUGGAACUGUAAUUAACUGGUAAUUACAGCUGCGACUGGUAUCUGUGUUGUAAUGGGCGAGAUAAGAGUUGCCAGCAAGUCGUCUGCUUGGUCUGCGACCUGUGGUAAGACGAUGCUGGAGGGCAGUGCGAUUUACAAUUACACGGAGAGCACCGGGGUAGAAUUGUUGUAAUCCACCCGAGAUUGCCGUCAUCCUAAUUGCUUGUGGGAGGGAGCUUAUUAAUUCAUGCUGCACGCUAAUAAGACAGGCGCACAGACAUAAACAGAGAAAUAAAACAGGCAGACAAACAGACAAGCACUGAAAUAGGCGUUUGGGUGGGAGGGUGCACUUUGUUUGAAAUCUCUGUAUUAUUUCAUCUGUGGCAAAUGAGACAAAAAUAGUAUUUAUGAGGUUUUUGACAGCAGUGUUAUUACCAAUGUCUCCUCUUACACGCUAGAUGGUUUUAUUACAGAAAACCUUUUCUUGGAAGUGAUAUUUUAGGUUUCUAACAAGUUUUUUUUUGGAUGUCUGUAUCUCCACAGCUGUAUUGCAGACUGCCUACUUUGCAGCUACAGUCGAAGAGCUGCUUUUCUAAAGAGGUUUUGGAAGCAGAACAAGAAUAAAUGCCGAAAAGAGAAUGUAGAACGAAGAAAAUGUCAAGAAUACUCUGAAAUAACACUGGGUGUGAGGAGGAACCCACACAGGAAGUGACGUUUGCUCUUUAUGAAUGGGAAGACAGUCGACGAGUCCUACCCCGAACCACAGCGCUAUCGCCGAUCCAGAGUACCCGGCCAAGGAAAUGAAAGCUGAUCGCUCACUCACACCCUGAGGUCAUGUCCUGGAUGAUUCGGCAACUGACGAAUAGAAGGUAUAAAGUGAAUCGUGGUGUGUCCGCGCUGGCGUACAGGUAGUCAAAUGCCGGUCAUAUGCGGGUAGAUCCUUGACUUCUGUCGGCUGUCCGGUGGGUCUGGCCGACUAGUGGGUAACAAAAUAUUUUCUGUUUGCACGAAAUAAAACUCAGAUAUAUUUCUC